AAUAGAUACCCUGGUAGUCCACGCCGUAAACGAUGAGUGCUAAGUGUUAGAGGGUUUCCGCCCUUUAGUGCUGCAGCUAACGCAUUAAGCACUCCGCCUGGGGAGUACGGUCGCAAGACUGAAACUCAAAGGAAUUGACGGGGGCCCGCACAAGCGGUGGAGCAUGUGGUUUAAUUCGAAGCAACGCGAAGAACCUUACCAGGUCUUGGCAUCCCACUGACCGGUAUAGAGAUAUACCUUUCCCUUCGGGGACAGUGGUGACAGGUGGUGCAUGGUUGUCGUCAGCUCGUGUCGUGAGAUGUUGGGUUAAGUCCCGCAACGAGCGCAACCCUUGAUCUUAGUUGCCAGCAUUUAGUUGGGCACUCUAAGGUGACUGCCGGUGACAAACCGGAGGAAGGUGGGGAUGACGUCAAAUCAUCAUGCCCCUUAUGACCUGGGCUACACACGUGCUACAAUGGAUGGUACAAAGGGCUGCAAGACUGCGAAGUCAAGCCAAUCCCAUAAAACCAUUCUCAGUUCGGAUUGCAGG
rnacentral:rRNA from 1 species